AGGAGCCUCUGGUGCCACAGCUCCGGGCCUGGGGGGAAUUUCUCAGGAACACUGGGGCCCGCUCUGACUCAGGGCAGCUGAAAAGAAUAAAACAUACGCUUGAGGCAAGAAGAAGGCAAGAAAAAACAUCCUUUCUGUUUAACUGAUGGAAAACUGAGGCAGGAGAAGACUUAAAUCGCUUGUCCAGAGUUACCAAAGCAUUCAGUGGUAGCACCAAGGAAAGCGUAUUUCUCUGUUGUCCCAGUCCAGUAUCCAGUUCACCAUCCACCUCUGUCCUGGCCUGACCCAGUGCAACCACAAGCAUCGUGGAAAGCACAGCUGAAAUACACUAGCACAGGAGGGACCAAGCGCUGCAGCCCCUAAAAGCUUGUGAGCCAUUUGAGUCAGUUCUGGUUGCUGUAAUUUAUGGUUUCCAUAGUCUACCAAACCAGAUUUACUUCCAGUUCAGAAAAGCAAUGAAGAUCAUGCUGAAGAGUUAAAAAAAAAAAAAAAAAAAAAAAAAAAAAAAAAAAAAACAUUAAGAAGCAAAAGA